AGCGAACGCUGGCGGCAGGCUUAACACAUGCAAGUCGAACGGGCACUUCGGUGCUAGUGGCAGACGGGUGAGUAACACGUGGGAACGUACCUUUCGGUUCGGAAUAAUUCAGGGAAACUUGGACUAAUACCGGAUACGCCCUUUUGGGGAAAGAUUUAUCGCCGAUAGAUCGGCCCGCGUCUGAUUAGCUAGUUGGUGAGGUAAUGGCUCACCAAGGCGACGAUCAGUAGCUGGUCUGAGAGGAUGAUCAGCCACAUUGGGACUGAGACACGGCCCAAACUCCGACGGGAGGCAGCAGUGGGGAAUAUUGGACAAUGGGCGCAAGCCUGAUCCAGCCAUGCCGCGUGAGUGAUGAAGGCCUUAGGGUUGUAAAGCUCUUUUGUCCGGGAAGAUAAUGACUGUACCGGAAGAAUAAGCCCCGGCUAACUUCGUGCCAGCAGCCGCCGUAAGAC
rnacentral:rRNA from 1 species